rnacentral:lncRNA from 1 species
UGGGACUUACCCUCCUUGGCCACGCCCAGGCUGAAGACAACCUCUCCUCUGCCCUGGCAGGAAGCGUCCGGAGCGCCGCCAGGACAUCUGCUUCAUCUUCCUUGGCAACAAAAGGCGCCCUGAGAGGGACUCUAGGCUGGGGACUGGGAGCAACCCUAACCCUCCUCCUUUUCUCCUGCAGGAGUGGACAGGAGCUCCAGCCUGGAGUCUCAGAGAGCGCCCCAUGCAGGAAGGCAGGUUUCACACCCAGGGAGGCCCAAGGACCCCUGAGCACCUGGGCCGGGAGCAGAGUCCCUUGCGUGGGGCAGCUCCUCCGCUGGGACCUGUUUGGCUUCGGACCCCGGUGAGCUGUCCAGGAGAAAGACGGGGCCUUUGGCUCAGACAGAUUUUGUGGACUUGCUUCCUCGGGGUCAUGCAGAUUUCCAUUUCAUGCACAUAAUCACCGUCAUCUCCGAGUGGCCGGGGCCUGUGCUGCCCCACUGUGCCAUGCAUCGGGCCAUAGCUGUCCAGUUCUGAGUGAGCAGAGAGAAGAGACUGGCCAGGCAGCAAAGCCAGACUUUGGUUGGACUGCACUGAGGCCAGGGCACCCAGGAGAUUUCUAGGGCCUGGCUGGCCUGCCCAGAAAGGCCCGAUGGGUGAGACUGCUGUCUCCCAGUGCAGAGCCACUCCCAAACCCAGGGCCCCAGCCCCUGCAGACAUCUCUGAAGAAGCCCUCUCGAGCAUCCUGAGGCUCUGGAGGAUCCCUUCCAGAGAGAAACUCAGCUGGCUUCUCACCCUAGAGAAGAAAGAGGGAGCUUGAAAAGAAGAACUCAAAAAGCACAGUGAUCGAACCAAAGAAAGAAAUCUCAAAUGAUAGAAAUUCAGACCUUGAAGACCAGUCACGGGGAGGAAGGAGGCCUUCCUGGCACGCAGAGCGGGUGCCACGUUCCUGACUUCCUGUGUCUGACCUCCCCUGCUGGGGCCAUCUCUCCUGACGGAGGCUGGGCCUGGCUCCAAGCGCUGAGCUUAGGAGGCAGCCUGCUCCCCUCCAGGCCCUCUGACCGCAGAGCAGCCGAGGAAGGAUAACAAGUUCUGAAAAGAACAACAAAGGCUUGUGGGCUGGGAAACAGGAAGUGGGGCUUCUGCACUUGCAGUCUUCCAGUCCCACCACAAUCUCAGGGCACGCUCUCCAUUGCUAAGUACAGAGAAAUCACAGCCAGCCGGCUUCUGGUUUGCUUCCUUGUUUUGGUUAAAAUCAGUGGAAUUUCUUUUCCUCAAGCAAAAAAUCUUACCCAGAGCUCUAAAAAACAUGACAUGAAAUCAGUAAGAAGGCUUCCCCAGUGAAGUAUUUUCUUGGCCCAAGUGAGAGGACACCACGCCUCCCUGUGGAAUUGGACAACUGGGUUAACUGGGUAACUAUGCUCUUUGUAGAAUGCACCUGAGUAACCUUGACAGCUUCUGGAAUCUGUCACGAAAGGAGCAGAACAGACUCACAAAGUCCUGCCAGAGCUCUUGGCCCACCCCCUCCCCGUGCUUUGUGUAAAUCCUGCUUGCCAUAUUCCCAGGGAAACUCCAAUGAAAAUAAGCCUCGUAGAUGUAAAAGAGGUACAGAAAGAAGAGCGAACUUCUCUUCAGGCUCUCGAGACUGACAGGAGCCACUGGCUGAGCCACCGGCCAUAAAGCCAGUUUGCUCCUUCUUUGUGUGUCAGAGUGCUCUGUCCAGGUGUCCCCACAGUUUCCUGCUUCAGACGAACGCUAAUGGUCAUGGAAUCUCUAAGUUCCUACAGCUCCGUUUUGAUCCUCUGUCCUCAAAGUCAGCUUCUUCUGCACCUGGGAAAACCAACGGCAGAGACUGUUGGCCUGCUGAAACUCUCAGGACAGCAAAGGUGGCACCAGGUUCCCCAGAAAUCCUUCCAGGGCUCUAAAACCAGCAUAAGCCCUUCCUUAGUCCAAAAUGGUAACUUUGAACAGAAGCAGAGCUGCUGAGGCUCUGGCAGUUAGAGGUCCAGCAUCGAAGUCCUUGCCGACUAGACAUCCGGUAAGGACACAGACAGUGUCGUCUCGCUGUCUUCCUGCAUGGAAAGGCAAGAUAGGUCUCCGGACCUUUUUUUAAGAGCACCUGGUCACUGCGUAAUGACCCCAGCGCUAACACUGUUACAGAGCCGAUUGCAUUUGGGCGUGAGUUCUGGGGUUCUUCUGGGGGACCGGCUCUGCCUGGCAGCCCAGCCUUUCUGCAGGGCACAGCCACACCUGCCCAGCCUGCAUGGGCACGCUGCCGUCAGCUCCACACACAGGUGGAAAAUGAGGUCCAACCCUGCCAGAGCAGCCUCCUGGAUGGGCGUGGCAGUCUCCCCAGCCCAUCGCUCCAGGUGCAAGGGUGCCCCCUGUGUGGGGAGGGUGCGCUGGGCUGUCUCUGACCCAAGGAGGUGCUGAGGUCGGAAUGCUCGUGGCCCUCAGUGUCGAACCCCGCCCAUGAUGAGGCGUCCGGAGGGAGGGCGGAAGGGGUUGGGAGGGCUUGGGAGGUCGGAGUCCUGCCUGGGGUCCUGGCCUUCCAGAAGAGCCCUUCCACUGCGCGGGCACACAGGAAGACGCUGCCGCCAGCAGCCGGCGAGCGGCCCCACCACACGAGGAAUCUGCAGGCCCUUGGUCUUGGGCCUCCUGCCUCUGGAACUCAGAUCAUUUCUGUUGUUGUUAGGCCUCUCGGCGUGUGGCGUUUCGUUUUAUAGCCUGACAGGAUGAGGACAGGAGGCCUCACUUCCAACCAUCCCUGGUGAGCGUGGCCUUCUCAUCCAGACCCUGCCGGGGACCAGCCUCCGCUGCCAAGGGCCACAGCCUUGCAGGAUGCAGAGUAGCGACCUGGGCCUCAGCCCGGGGGACCCCCUUUCCGCUGGGCCGGCACGGCCUUCCUAGCCUACAGCCCACACUGGCCUCAGAGUGCUCCAAACACAGCCGCUCACUUGGGCCUCCUGCCCCAGGGCCUUUUCUCUGCCUCCCAAACCCACAGACUCACCUAGCUCUGUGGCCAAAGCACUCUCCCGAGCAGCUCACCCAGCCUCAGCCCCCGGGGCCUCAGUCACCUGCACACCCACAGCAGACCUCACUCGGGGGCACAGGGCCCUGCUUUCCCAGAAGCCUGGCUCAAGCAUCAGACACCGUCUGACCAGUGCUCCGCUGCCGCAGCACAGCUGUCUUCAUGGUCAGAUGCCCGGGUGUAGAGGGGAGGAAGCGGGAUUCCAGCACUUGGAGCCAGCCAUCAGCAGAGGUGUGACACAUCCUAGGGGAGUUGGUCAGGGAGCGUGUCGGGUCUCCUCAUGGUUAGGGCUGUGUGCAGCCCUCCAUGCCUACCUGGGAGGUGGCCACUGUAGGACUGAGCUCCCCCCAAGGCCCCUGACCCCACCUCACCCCCCAGCCAUGUAGCUCUGGAGGCCCCCGGGGCACAGGGCCAGCACAGCCUGCCCUGUCCACACCUGGGCCGGGCCAGGAAGGAGGGGCGCUGAAGGGUCAAGGCCCACAGCUGCUUUGUGCUGUGCGUGAGGAAGCAUCUUCUAGACCCACAUGGCCCCUCUCCGGACUCGUGCACUUGAAAAGGCGGCCACGCCGGGAUUGGAGCCCCCAGAGAGUCCAAGGGUAGCGGAGGCCUGCAGGGAGCUGUGGUGAUCUUCAGGUGGCCGUGGACUCCUGGCAGCUGAGAGUUCAGCUCUGGCAAAGGCUUGCUUAUUCAUCCACUCAGCCACAGCCAGCCAGUGCCAGGCAUUAUACUGGCUGCUGGGACACAGCAGUGGGAUUUAGCCGGGUGAGGCGGCGCACACCUGCCAUCCCAGCUACUCAGGAGGCUGCAGUCAGAGGCCAGCGUGGGCGACUUAGCAAGACCCCAUCUCAAAGUAAAAACUUAACCAAAGAGCUGGGGCUGUAGCUCAGUGCUCCCUGGGUUCAAUCCCCAGCACCACAAGAACAAGGCAGAACUUACAAACUUCCCUGGCUUCUGCUGCAGGGGGAGGAGAACAAGAUGAAGCGGUGACGCGCUCCGCGGUGGUGAUCAGGGGCAGAUGGAGCAUGGAGAGGAGUGUUUGAGGUGCACUCUGACGCGGUGGGAGGAGGCCUCCCUGGUGCCAGACCGGUGACCGGCCCUGAAGAGUGUCAGGGAAGCCCCGGGGCUGGAGCACCCCGGUGAGCCAGAGGGACGGCGGGGGAGGCAGGAUGGCGGCAGCCAUGCCGUGACCUGGGAGUGUCUCAGGAGAUGCUGUCGGGGUCGAGUGGUGGCCCCAAGAGCCUGUGCUGGAGUCCUAUCUGAGGAGCCUACCAGUGUGUGAAAUCUUGCGAGUGCAGUCACCCCAGGGAGCCUCGAGAUGCGCUCAGCCGAUCAUCCAACACAAGGGCUUUUGCAGUGACAUGCAGAGGACAGACGUGGGGAAAGAGGGGAGACCAGGAAAGCCAGAGGCAAAGACUGCAGUGGCCAGGGGUCAGGGGCUGGGGAAGGCAGGGGGGGGUCGGGACGGGGCCCUGCCGCCACUCCAUUUCAGCCUUGCCUUGCAGAACUGUGAGAGAAGACAGCUCUGCUGUCAUCUGUGACCACCACCCUGGGAAACUGACACAGAUGGGCCUCCGGGAGGCCUGGGCUGGGAGGGACACGGCCCCUGGUCAGAGGGUCCCUCCUCCUGCUGUGUGCGGAAGUCCAGGGAUAUCAGGCACAGACAGCAGCUGGGAAUGAGCUGCUGGGUCCCAGGCUGCGGCUGGAUGGUGCCAGGUCUGGUGACCCCAGGCUCUUCCUGUCCUGCCCAAAGAAUUGGCAGGGACAGCAGAUGAAUGGGUGGACACAACUUUCAUUUAAGGUAGAGAAAGAAAGGGAAAGUGCAGAAGAGAACAGCAAGAAGAGAUACGGACCGGGUGCAGGAGUGGCCACUGCAAAAACAGGAAGCAUCGGACAGCAGGGUCUCAGAGGCAGCGGUCAGUGGCCACUGUCUUUCGUAUCCGCCCAGACUCUGACUGGGAGGAAGCUGCUCUGCCCACGCAGCCUGGCUGUGAUGCACACAUCACAUCCUGUUGAUCGGUCUCCAGUCAGGCUUGGGUUACAUCCGAAACCUAUUUUCAGCCAGCCUGCAGUGCCCUAGUCUCCUGCCUCAGGGCACAGGCCCCAAAGUCCUGAAAGCAGGGACGGGUAGGCGGAUGGCUGGCUGGGGAAGGAAGCCCUGGACAGUGGGGCCCAGGCCUUUGGACUUGGUGAGCCAAGUGGGGAAGGGCCCUGCGCCCCAGGGCCAGGGGAGUCCGCUCUUGUGAGGGCCCAAGAGAUGGUGUCAUCGUAGGACGGGAGCAGGCCCUGAAAACCCGCACAGCCUUCAGAAAGCAGAGGAGAGAGGCCUGAGCCAGUAAUGAGUGACGGACUCCAGGCCCGCCUUCCCGGCCUCCAUGCUGGGCUGGGCUGUCUUCAUCCACCUGUGGAACACAAUUGAAAACAGACUCCCUCCCACUGCUUGGAAAUUCCCAGAGAGGACACCCCGGGGCCCCAAAGGGACAGAGGGCAGCAGGCAGGAUAUACAUGGCGUGA